UGAUGGCCAGGCGGCCGGCGGCGCCGGGCUUGUUCUCGACGAGCACGGUGCCGAGCGCGGGGCUCAUCGCCUCGGCCAUCAGCC
rnacentral:tRNA from 1 species